CCUACGGGAGGCAGCAGUGGGGAAUAUUGCGCAAUGGGCGAAAGCCUGACGCAGCGACGCCGCGUGAGGGAUGAAGGUCUUCGGAUCGUAAACCUCUGUCAGCAGGGAAGAACGGUCACUGUGCUAAUCAGCAGUGAAUUGACGGUACCUGCAAAGGAAGCACCGGCUAACUCCGUGCCAGCAGCCGCGGUAAUACGGAGGGUGCGGGCGUUAAUCGGAAUUACUGGGCGUAAAGCGCUCGUAGGCGGUAUGUCAAGUCAAGGGUGAAAUCCCCGCGCUCAACGUGGGAACGGCCUUUGAAACUGGCAAACUGGAGUGUGUGAGAGGAUAGUGGAAUUCCAGGUGUAGGAGUGAAAGCCGUAGAUAUCUGGAGGAACAUCAGUGGCGAAGGCGACUAUCUGGCACAUAACUGACGCUGAGGAGCGAAAGCGUGGGUAGCAAACAGGAUUAGAUACCCUAGUAGUC
rnacentral:rRNA from 1 species